GACGAACGCUGGCGGCGUGCUUAACACAUGCAAGUCGAACGGAAAGGCCCUGCUUUUGUGGGGUGCUCGAGUGGCGAACGGGUGAGUAACACGUGAGUAACCUGCCCUUGACUUUGGGAUAACUUCAGGAAACUGGGGCUAAUACCGGAUAGGAGCUCCUGCUGCAUGGUGGGGGUUGGAAAGUUUCGGCGGUUGGGGAUGGACUCGCGGCUUAUCAGCUUGUUGGUGGGGUAGUGGCUUACCAAGGCUUUGACGGGUAGCCGGCCUGAGAGGGUGACCGGCCACAUUGGGACUGAGAUACGGCCCAGACUCCUACGGGAGGCAGCAGUGGGGAAUAUUGCACAAUGGGCGGAAGCCUGAUGCAGCAACGCCGCGUGCGGGAUGACGGCCUUCGGGUUGUAAACCGCUUUCGCCAGUGACGAAGCGUGAGUGACGGUAAUGGGUAAAGAAGCACCGGCUAACUACGUG
rnacentral:rRNA from 1 species